AGAUGGUUAAGGCCCUGAGAAAUCAAGAAAGCAAAAUCCUCCAUGCUGUGAUGUUUCCAAUGAGGCCUUAUGAUAAAAGGCCCCAUAGAAGUCGACGAUGUUCCGGUGGCCAGAUACAAUUUGCAGGAUUUCGACUUCUUUCUUGAUCUCCUGUUGCUUCUAGUUUCAAACAAAAGAAACAAGGACUAUGUAUAGUGAAGCCUGGAUCUUGGCUUUAGUCUGC